rnacentral:rRNA from 1 species
CGGAACGGGUGAGUAACGCGUGAGGAACCUGCCUCAAAGAGGGGGACAACAGUUGGAAACGACUGCUAAUACCGCAUAAGCCCACGGUGCCGCAUGGCACAGAGGGAAAAGGAGCAAUCCGCUUUGAGAUGGCCUCGCGUCCGAUUAGCUAGUUGGUGAGGUAACGGCCCACCAAGGCAACGAUCGGUAGCCGGACUGAGAGGUUGAACGGCCACAUUGGGACUGAGACACGGCCCAGACUCCUACGGGAGGCAGCAUG